rnacentral:rRNA from 1 species
AACCUUACCAAAUCUUGACAUCCUUUGACCACUCUAGAGAUAGAGUUUUCCCCUUCGGGGGACAAAGUGACAGGUGGUGCAUGGUUGUCGUCAGCUCGUGUCGUGAGAUGUUGGGUUAAGUCCCGCAACGAGCGCAACCCUUAAACUUAGUUGCCAGCAUUUAGUUGGGCACUCUAGGUUGACUGCCGGUGACAAACCGGAGGAAGGUGGGGAUGACGUCAAAUCAUCAUGCCCCUUAUGAUUUGGGCUACACACGUGCUACAAUGGACAAUACAAAGGGCAGCUAAACCGCGAGGUCAUGCAAAUCCCAUAAAGUUGUUCUCAGUUCGGAUUGUAGUCUGCAACUCGACUACAUGAAGCUGGAAUCGCUAGUAAUCGUAGAUCAGCAUGCUACGGUGAAUACGUUCCCGGGUCUUGUACACACCGCCCGUCACACCACGAGAGUUUGUAACACCCGAAGCCGGUGGAGUAACCAUUUAUGGAGCUAGCCGUCGAAGGUG